rnacentral:rRNA from 1 species
UACGUAGGCAGCGAGCGUUGUCCGGAAUCACUGGGCGUAAAGCGCGUGUAGGCGGGUCCGCAAGUCUGCUGUGAAAACUCCUGGCUUAACCGGGAGAGGUCGGUGGAAACUGCGAACCUGGAGGACGGUAGAGGCUGGAUGGAAUUCCCGGUGUAGUGGUGAAAUGCGUAGAGAGUCGGGAGGAACACCUGUGGCGAAGGCGGCUCACUGGCCCAUUACUGACGCUGAGGCACGGAAAGCGUGGGGAG